CUCUUGAGAUGACAACUGUUGGGAAAGCUGGCCUGUUCGUGUAAGCAUGGUCUCACCUGCCAGGAGUCUGGAAGUCUGUUGCAAGGGUUUGUGUUCUGAUUCAGGUUGGAAACAGAGGCAUGGAGAUGUGUAUUUGGCUGGCAGCCUGCCCAGGCUCAAAAGUCUCAUGACUACUAAUGUGACUAUUUCUAAAUAUUAGAUAGUGCCGCUUGUUUUGUAAAUGUGGCUGGAUUGAAGUGUUAGCAGAUAAGGAGAGGACAAGGCUUUAUCUACAUUGCGGGAUCAAUUUUUGCUAACCUGUGUGGAGGAAAAUGCCAAUGCAACUCCUGUCUUUGAGAAGGAAAACACAGCUGUUGUUCAACCACACAUACUCAGUGCUAUGUGACAGCCCAGGCACAACGCGAGGGGAGAUGUUGAAGCUGGUAACUGUAAAGGGAGUUCUGGUCAGAAGGAUGCAGGAGGUUACGAACCACACUGCAGUAGGCUGAUGUUCAUAGAUUGCCAACAGGUCUCCGAGAUUAGACGGUCUUGCACCUUCUCUGGAUGGUGAGGCCCUUUGUAGCUGCAUCAGACGGGGAUGUUUCAGUCUUACUGGAACCUACAGACCUUCCCAAGCUUUUGCAGCCUUUUAGAUGUCUCUGCAGAUCUCCUGCUAGUCUGUCAUGAGCUUAUUUCUCAAAACACACUGUCAGUGCAAGCUAACUUAGCUGUGGAAAAUAUUGGACCAAUCUAUGUGACCCCUUAGGUUGCACAGUUGUCUUGUACAGAGAUGUUCCUCAUAUUCUUGUUCCCUGCUUCUUCCCCAUCCUUACAUUUUUGGUCAUCCCUUUCUCUCCAGGUUCCAGAUCGCUACAAAUCUCAGUGUGGAGAGGUACGCCCUGGUGUUUGGGGUCAAUACUUUCAUUGCCUUAGCACUUCAGACGCUGCUCACGUUGAUUGUUGUGGAUUCCAGAGGGCUUGGGCUGGACAUCUUCACCCAGUUCAUGAUUUAUGCAUCUUACUUUGCGGUUAUCUCCCUGGUGUUCCUGGGCAGUGGCAUAUACAGUAUUAUUAGAGCUUACAGAAGACAAGAGCAGAUGCCAAGCAGAUCUCCUGAAAGCCACUAGUGCACCAAGCGAAGACCUUCAGUGGCUACGUAUGAAGAUAGAGGUCUGUUUUUUAAUCUCUGCCUUUUCUUCCCAAGGCAGUCACCUUAAUGGUACUUGAUCCAUAUUUGUACUAUAUUAGUAGCACAUUUUAGAAGGUAAAUGUAUUAGGUCUUACGUAAGUAAGAACAAAUAUCUUCUUUCUAAAAUGCCUCUUGUUCUUCUGUUGCAUAUAUGGAUGUGCAGCAAAGAACAGUAAGUUUUCUCAAAAAAUGAAAGCCUUAAGAGGCUUUAGUCUAAAGUCGUGCAUCUGGAGACUGUCAUUGAAAAGGCAGCUUGAUUGCCUGGUAAACAGCUGCUCUCUUUGUCAUUAAGAUGCUGCUGUGGUGAGGGCAUUCUCAUCGACCUCUUUGUGGAGAGACCUGGUCCUGGGAGAGGAGGUGGCCUUAGGCCAGUGCUCUUCCGUGCCUGCCCUGAGAUGCUGGAUACUCUAUUUUGAGGACUCACACACUUACAUUUCUGCAUAUACACAUGUUUCUUUUAGUUUAAUAUUAUUUCUGCAGCUUAUCUGCUGUCCCUGCUGUCAGAGCUUUGCCAUGGCUGAUCGUGCCACCUCCACAAAAAUCUAACUGUCCUGGGGCAACUUGUGACAGCGCUAACUUGGCUGCCAGCGGCGCUACUUGUGCUGUGAAGGUCUGCACCCAAGAGACUGUAAAGCUGUAGGGAAAGCCUAGGGAGAGUUCAAGUAGGCAGGAUGCUGAUCUGCGGAAUCGCUGGGCAUCUUUGCCUUUGUCCUCUAGGUCUGCAGAUUCCUGCAGUUAUUAGAGUCACUGACUCAUAUCACAGAAGCCUGGGCUAUUUCAGUGGGAAGGUGGAUGUGAGUGUAGCACCAAGAAGGAAGGUGACUUGCAGGAUUUUAAGCUAUUCUUUGUAACCUCAGAGAAUCAUGACCGCAGUGACUAGACACCUUCAGUUACUGUAUUUAACAAAAUGAACACCUGAGGCCUUGAAAAAUGGUGAUUGCUGAUCUGUUGCUUCUUCCCUUUUUAAAAUGCCUUUGUUUCUGGUGGGUCUCUAUCCACUAGUUCUACCUCUUCUUUCCACUUAAAAAAAAAAAAAAAAAGUGUUUACGGAGAGAAGAGUUUUUAUUUUCUUUUGUCCAGUCUGAGCAAUUUUGGACUUGCCUCAUUGCCUCAUAUCUAUUUUUUAAAAUGCUUUUUUUUUUUUUUUUUUUUUUUUCCCCAAAUUGCAUCAGCACUGAAGGAGUUGCACAGAGCUGUCCUAGGCUUGGGCACCUGGGUACUCAGGCAUCAUGACCGGCACAGCAACAGGUAUCUGUAGCACACUGGUCAUGGCCUAUAAACUGUCCCAGUUGCUGUGCAGGUUGUAGUUUUAAGUGUAUGGGAGAACUGGAAGGGAGAACGUGCUGUGCAGUGUGCUUCCUUUCCAUGCCUUCUCUUUGUGUGGUAUUUGGAGUUUAUUCCAGUCAGCCUGAAGAAGCAGCUUCGUUUCAUUACUUGGUUUGUUUAAUGCCAUGGAGAUGUCACAGCUUUUCUCUCCUGGCUGGGACAGAUAUGAUCUUCCUCAUCAUUUCUGAGAGCCUCAACCUUUAUGACUCAAGCUGAAUGACUAAUGUGUUUGGGAUGUGCUCUCUGGGGUCUACGGAGCUCUCUAAGGCUGGCUUCUCAGGGAAGUGCACUCCCCAAAGCUUCAGUGUGUCAGCAGGCUGCCUUCUGAAAUGUCUUAGGGGCUCAGCUUUAUUUAUACUUGUAUGUGUAAACUUAACUGCCUUAUCCUGAAAUGGAAACUUGAAGCCAACUACAUAUAUAUUCUGUUCUUUACUGUAUAAAAAAAUAAUCUGAAGCUGUGAAAUGCUAGCUGACGAGCUGGCCUGAGAAAGGGUAGUAAGGGCAUACCUUGUCCUUUGGGUUCCUUGGCCUGAUGGCAGCUGUGAUGUGAGAUGAGGCAUGGAUGCAUGGCACUUGUAUCAAGUGACAGAAAGAAGCAGCUCAGUUUUAAUUGCACUUUUCAUACAUAGAAUAAAUCUUUGAAGGGGAACAACCCAGUUAAUUUUCAACUUCUAUUUAAGUAACUAAUGAAUUACAGCAAUAAAUUUUUCUACCAAAGUCAUGAAAUUGUGACAGCUCUAAUAGUGAUGUGCUACACUGUGUACAUCUUCAGGCCUAUUUAUGGAAACUACACCUAGAUGUUGUUCUUAUGGUAUGCUGUUGCUGUGGUGAUGAGGUGUCAGAGUCUGACUGUACCUGGAAUUAUUGAUGCCUAUGAAAUUCUGUAAGCAUAUUGAUGUUGUUAGUAGGACCCCUUCAGCUUGUUUCUAAUUGAAUAGCUAUUUUUGUUAAAUAAAAAUAUUUCAAGACAUGUGUGGCCAGUGUUUGUUUUGUCUUCUGAUAACUUGCUAAUCCACAGCAUUG
rnacentral:lncRNA from 1 species